UAAAAGGAGUAACUCCUAUUACACCUAUUACAAAUCACACAUACAUCUAACCCAUACAAAAACCAAACGAGAAAACACUCAAUGUCUUCUUCCAGCCAAGAAAUGGAUACUCAAGUCCCUAACCCUGAGCUACUGCCAUUUAAUGGCGGCACGACAUCUGCCUCAAGUGGCCAUCGGCAGCAAAAAAAGAGGACCAGAGCUGGCCGUCACAGUCUUCUUGCGACCUUUGCUGCCGGGAAGUCUCUCGCAUGCUGGGAGGCUGCGAACUCAAGUCACCUACCCUGCCUCAGCCUUUGCCUUUGCCUGUGCCUGUAGUUAUCGACGAUGUUGUCGUCGACCUAACUGAUGAGCCUGAGGUUACUGGUGUCACAUAUCCUGAAAUGUCUGGUGGUUCUACAACCGUCAUUUGUCUUAGUGGUGAUGAUACUGAGGUCGAGUCCAAAGGCGAUGAUGCUACCCCUCUUAAAGCAUCAAAGGCCGUCCUUGUCACUUUGUCCCAAAGAUAACAUUCCGGGUUCGAAGACUCACAGACGGUGACCCCAGGUUUGAGUACAGCCUAAAGGUUAAUGAAAAUUUCGAGAAGAUUUACUACGACUACGCUGCGAGAGUAGACCGCCUCCCGGAUGAAAUCUUCAUUAAGAAGGCUAUAGGGCAAACGCAGGGCUCGUGUGGGAUUCUGACUGGGUCCAUCCUCUAUGUGGUUGGGCAGAACUUCGAGGAUAACUUGGACGUCUGUACCAAGCUUGUGUAUCUUUGUCAGCUGCGCACCCGCCCGCGUAUGAAGGAGGUGAUCGUCCCUGUCUUCGCAAAUUUGAAGGUGCUGUCCAAGAUCUGGAGUGAUGAGGUCGAUGUGAAUCAGGAGAUCAUACAAAUGAGAAUCGGAAUGUCCUCCCGUGUCAGACUUUCCGUGAUGUUGGUAUUCGGAAUGGGCACGAGGUGUUUUGCUUAACCAAUAUCUAGUCCAGUCUUUGUCGAGGGAGAUGUUUUUGUCCUUGUCAUGGAGUUGUUAUGUUUUUGUUAAGUUGACAAGUGAAUUUGCUAAUUAAGUUAAUGAAAUCACCUUGGAGCAUGAAUCCGUCUUUUGUAGGUCAAUUGUGGUGAUACUCUUUAAGGCCAUUUGUGUCAUAAUCUAGAAGGCCAUUUGAGUCAUAGUCUAGUAGUAGGUGUUUCUAGUCUUUUGUGUCAAAGUCCCAUGUGAUUUGGGCAACAAUAUCAACCUUUUUCUGUAUUAUUUUUGGUUGAUUAAUGAAAUGAUCAGUUGGUUUA